ACUGCCUGGACACGCCCCCGCAGCCGCCCGAUUGGCUCUUUUCUUUGAUACCGGUCUCUAGUUGGUUGCAAUUAACCUUUCAGUGACGUGCCUAGGCGGAGAGAGCUCGCCCGGCGAUUGGUCCAAUUUGAAAACCUUUUACCCGGGGAAGAAAGCAAGGCGGAGAGGCCUCAUGCUGGAGGCUAAUCUGCCGUGGAAGCGGCCAAUCCGUAGUAAGCGCGCGAAGUUUAAACGCUACUGCGCGCCAUCAAAACCGGAAGACAAGGAGGGUGGAGUCUGGAGCCCCCUCUACUGUCUCUGGGAAAUCUGGGCCGGCCUAGGUUUUAAAGGAAAAGGGUCAGCCAGGCGGUGGUACAGCACACCUUUAAUCCCAGCACUCAGGAGGCAGAGGCAGAGGCCGGUGGAUUUCUGAGUUCAACGUCAGCCUUGAACAGAGUCAGGAUACUCCCACUCCCUCCUCGGAUCUGGAGGGUUUAAAAGAGAAGAAAUGAGACCCGAGAGUUCAAUUCUAUGUCACAAAACUGAGAACUGUGAUCCUUCACUACCACAAGUUUAGGAUUUCAAUAUUUAUUCAACAUGGUCUGUCUGGUUUCAGUUCUGUUGCUUCUCGCAGGAAAGGGUCUGAUGGAGCAGAGGUAGGCAUCCUAAUGGAGAAGGUGCCCACCCCAAUUCUUCCAAUUGAUCCAGAAAAUAAACAGAUGGGGCUGGGGCCACAGUUCACUGGUACAGCACUUAGGUACAAGGAAGCCCUGAGCUCAGUCCUCAAGCACCU